rnacentral:rRNA from 1 species
UACGUAGGGCGCAAGCGUUAUCCGGAAUUAUUGGCGUAAAGAGCUCGUAGGCGGUUUGUCGCGUCUGCCGUGAAAGUCCGGGCUCAACUCCGAUCUGCGGUGGGUACGGGCAGACUAGAGUGAUUGUAGGGAGACUGGAAUUCCUGGUGUAGCGGUGAAAUGCGCAGAUAUCAGGAGGAACACCGAUGGCGAAGGCAGGUCUCUGGGCAUUAACUGACGCUGAGGAGCGAAAGCAUGGGGAGCGAACAGG